GGAGAGAGGUGAUUUGAGCUAAAAUGGUGUUAUUAGUCAAUCAGGAUCUUUUCAAUGUCCUAAAAUUGCGUAUAUAAAGAAUUGGUUCAGUGCUAAGAUAGAACUGGAUCAUAUAUGGGUCAAGAGAUCUUCAAUCAGGAGUGAAUGGGCUAGGACAUGUCUUGAAGAGCGUCUCUCUUUUCACCUUUUGCAUUACAUUCACUUCAAUGCACUCAACUAACUUAACUACCAGCCCAUUAAGGAAAGGAAUGUCAGUCGUAGACCCCGACAAUGAACUUUCUCUUAAUAUACGUUAUUCAUUGUACAAGGCUUGUUCGCUUUAUUUCGGAUGAUGCCAUUCCACCUUACCCGGAAAAUGUGCAGGUUUCCUCAAUGCAAUAGUGUCUCGAUUCGGAUAUCAAAGAUGUGACUUGUAUACCUUUUUAGUUUGACUCUGCUAGCUCAUAAGCUGAUGUAUGUAUCAACAAUGGUAGCUCAAAUCCCCUUUGGAUUCAUGGAAUGUGACCUGGGACACUGUGGGAGUUUGCCUGCCUCAUUAGCAAAAAGAUUACCAGAGUAUAGCACUGUUUGAUGGAUGUUGCCCCAACAUCUAGAAAGUGCAAAAGGUUCCUCUGUUGAGUUUAUAAUUAUGCAAGAUAGUGCAUGAUCAUUCGGGGCUGUUAUGUUGUGAGGCGCUAUCUCCGACUAGUGACACUUUGGAAAAGAAGACUCAAGAUGAAUCAAGGUACAUCAUAUUUUGAAAGUAUAACCUGAACAUAUAUACUAUUUCUGAGAAUUUCGACGGUGCAAUCAACCAUGUUGCCUUCCCUUUAAUCCAUACACCCUGCAAGCGUUUGCGAUCUUAAGCCAUUGCCGAAUGAGGAGACAGACUAAAUCACUCGAGCUUCCAAGCAUACAGAAAGAGGCAGAACUCUGACGCUUUCGAAUGACUUUGAGUCGAGUAGUACCUGCUGUUGCUGCUACUGCAGUCGCUGCUGUCACCACCGCAGCUGCUCUCGUCGUUUUCGUUUUCUAAUUCCGGUUGGCCAGGCUUGAAGAUGAACAACCCGUGGCCGGACCCGGUCGGGCAAAAUAGCCAAGCGUGCACAUCCCAAAAAACUUGCACAGGUAACUUGUUCAUCAACACUGUCUGAUUUCCCCUGAAUUUCCACUGCAAGUUCCGUACAUGGAUCAACACGAUCCCGUCUAUGCUAAUCCACAUUUCGGGAUCUCUGGGCCCUGCCGUCGAGCUCUCUACAACAAUCUCAUGUUCUUCUGAUUUCUUCGGAUCAAACUUGGCUCUCGUCGAGAAACUUCUCUUGUUGAACACAUGCUCCUUCUUGUAAAAGAGGAGGGCUUCAACUAGGGCAGGCCUGGACUUGGUUUUUUUGUAGGCCUUGUUCUUGUAAUCCCCUAGCAACAACACCACCUCUUCAUCAGAAACUAAUGCGACGUAGAAAUCUGAACACGGCUCUGGACCACCGGAAAAUUUAGCAGAGCGCAAGUCCCAGUAAAUUUCUACUUGGUCACCGUCUACCUCAAAAGUCUUGUUCCCCUUCUUGCACCAGAAUUGCCACGGCUUAAGGUCUAUCUUGCAAGAGUGAUGCGAAUCAGUUUCUACGCUAUCGACAGAAAUAGUGAGAGAGUGGUUCGUCAAGUUUUUGCACCACAAAACCGUGACGUUGCGCCAAAAACCGGCAAUGUGUGUUUGGUAGACGCAUGUGACGGAACUCUGGGCAGUUUUUUGUGUCACUGGAUCCUCCGUUAUUUUCUGCGCUAAAGGUGGGUCGGAGUAGGAGAUCGAUUGGGCUCUCGUGGAAGAUAUUCGGGAAUCCAUAAGGAGCUGAGCUAUCUGGAGCCGCACAAAUGCGUAGACGACGAGAUUUGCUGAAGGGUAAGCAGCAGCGGCAUGGCGACAAAUGUCAGUGGUUUUCCGGAGAAACAAUGUGCAUUGGGCGGGGUAAGGUCGCCGGAGGAAGACGACGGUCGAGAGAUUUGGUCAAAGAAGACGAAGAAGUUCUACCAUGAAAACUUUGUUUUUGUGGAGAAAAAUUCUCCAGCAAGAGGCUGUGGGCAAGAGAUGCCCGGAAAACAAGGGAUCAAAGAAGAGGAGAAGAUUCCACAUGUUCUAAAUAUAGACUGUUUCCUAUUUGGGUGGUGUUUCAGGUGUAGUACUCUUCUUAGUAACUACUAUGUUAUUGAACUGCUGAUUAGAUUGCUUUCCAUCUCGAGCUAUUUGGAAUCUAAUGAUCAUGUUCAAGCGGUCAUGCUUAAAUUUGGGUUUA